ensembl:lncRNA
UCUCUUUAACUGACGACAGACAGACAGAGAGACAGACAGAGAGACAGACAGAGAGACAGACAGAGAGACGGGGAGAGAGACGGGGAGAGAGACAGGGAGCGAGACAGCAAAGAGACAGGGGCGAGAGACAGGCAGAGAGACAGGGCGAGAGACAGCAGAGAGACAGACAGAGAGACAGCAGAGAGACGGGGAGAGAGACAGCAAAGAGACAGGCAGAGAGACAGGGCGAGAGACAGCAGAGAGACAGGGCGAGAGACAGGCAGAGAGACAGGGCGAGAGACAGCAGAGAGACAGCAGAGAGACAGGGAAAGAGACAGCAGAGAGACAGGGGAAAGAGACAGCAGAGAGACAGGGGAAAGAGACAGCAGAGAGACAGGGGAAAGGCAAUACAAACAUGAACUAAUAUUUGUUAAAUGUUUAUUUAGUUUCUAAAUAAUUAACAUGACAAUUGUCCCUCACAACUUGUUUACUAAUGACCAGACAAUAAUAUCAAUCAGAAUACUAUUACUGAUCAUAUUGUAGUAGUGUAUAUUAUUGAUCAUUUUGUUGUCAAUAAUAUAAAUAUGAUCAAUGAUAAGAUUUAUCUUCAAUAUCAAUAAUAGUGUAAAUAUUUUUAUUGAUAUAAUCACAUCACAUGUCAUUUAUCUGACGCUUUUAUCCAAAGCAACUUACAAUAAGAACAUUUAACCAUAAGGACACAAACUCAGAAGAACAAGAAACAAGAAAGUGUGAUUUCAUAAAUUAAACCGAUAUGAUAUCUGUUAUCUAUAGCAAGUUGUAUAAGUCCAAUGUCAGUGCUGCAGUCAGUUAGUGUGUUAGUGGAGGUAGAGUCGGAGGAGUGGAGGAGUGAGGGAGAACUUAGGAAGGUUAAAGACCAGUGGAGCUGCUGCAUUCUGGAUGAGCUGCAGAGGUGGAAUGGUGGUAGCAGGAGACCUGCAGGAGAGAGUUACAGUAGUCCAGGAGGGAGACGACAAGAGCCUGAAUCAGUACCUCCUUCUGAGUGAGAAGAGGACGUGUUCUCCUCAUGUUGUAGAGCGAGUAUCUACAGGAUGGUGUUGUCAGUGAUGUUGGAGUCAGGGAGAGUCGGCUGUCGACGUCACGCUGAGGUUCCUGCAGUCAAAGUGGACGUUAACACGGAGUCUCAAAGUUAACAGUCAGGUCCUGUGUAGGAGAAUCUUUUCCCAGAAAGAGAAGUAGUUCCGUCUUGUCGGGGUUGAUUUUCAGAUGGUGGGCGGAUCCACUGAGAGAUGUCAGUCAGACAGGCAGAGAUCCGAGUGAGGGAAGGAGAGGAUUAGUUGGUGUCAUCAGCAUAGCUGUGGUAGGAGAAGCCAUGCGAGCGAAUGACAGCGCAGAGAGAGUUGGUGUAGAGCGAGAAGAGGAGGAGACCCAGGACGGAACCCUGAGGAACUCCAGUAGUAAGAGGACAAGGUUCCGACACAGAUCCUCUCCAGGUUACUCGGUAGGUGCGUCCGUCGAGGUAGGACGAGAGAAGGGAGAGAACAGAGCCUGAGACACCAAGUUCCUGAAGGGAGGAGACAAGGGUCUGCUGGUUGACUGUGUCAAAUGCAGCAGAGAGGUCCAGAAGGACGAGGACAGAGGAGAGAGAGGAGCUCUAGCAGUGUGGAGCUGCUCUGAGACAGCGAGGAGAGCAGUCUCUGUGGAACGGCCUUGAAGCCUGACUGGUGGGGGUCAAGGAGGUUGUUAUGGUGGAGAUAAGAGGAGAGCUGGUUAAAGAUCACACGUUCAAGGGUUUUGGGCAAUCAGGGAAGAAGAGAGACCGGUCUGUAGUUGUGUUCUUCAGACGGGUUGAGGGUGGGUUUCUUCAGGAGAGGGUUGACUCUUCUCCUUCAGAGAAAACAUCCAGAUAACAGAGCGUUGUUGAUGAGACAGGUGAGGAAAGGAAGAAGGUCGGGAGUGAUAGAUUGUAGAAGAUGUGAUGGAAUGGGGUCAAGAGGGCAGGUGGUUGGACGGGCAGAGGUUACUAGGGUAAGAACUUGGUUAGGAGACGGGGGUGAAGGAGGAGAGUGAGGGCGAUAGAGGUGAAGCCAGUGGGACACGAGUAGGAGGAGGUGGGUUUGAGAAAGAGGAGCGUAUGUCAGCUACAGUUGUGCUCAUAAGUUUACAUACCCUGGCAGUAUUAAUGAUUUCUCGGCCAUUUUUCAGAGAAUAUGAAUGAUAAC